GGUAGUAGCAAAUAUUCAAUAUUUAAACAAGAGCUUUGAAGGACGAAGUGGAGAAGGGUUCCAUGUGAACAGCAGUUGAACAUGGGUCAAUCGGUCCUAAGGGAUGGGCGAACGCCGUUUGGAAGUGUGGAGCGAUGGCCUCCGUCGCCCCCGGCCGAUCGAAAGGGAGUCGGGUUCAGAUCCCCGAACCCGGAGUGGCGGAGAUAGGCGCCGCGAGGCGCCCAGUGCGGUAACGCAAACGAACCUGGAGACGCCAGCGGGGGCCACCGGGAAGAGUUCUCUUUUUCUUUGUGAAGGGCAGGGCUCCCUGGAAUGGGUUACACACCCCUGAGAUAGGGGCCCGUGCCCUGGUACGCAUCGCGGCUCUGGCGGCGUCCGGUAAGAUCUCGCUGGCCCUUGAAAAUCCGGGGGAGAGGGUGUAAGUCUCGCACCGGGCCGUACCCAUAUCCGCAGCAGGUCUCCAAAGGUGUGUUAUUCAGAGAAAUUGGACACCUUCUAGUCC
rnacentral:ncRNA from 1 species